CACAUUAAUAGACCUUAUUUGAGGAGAUCCCUAACACCCAAAACAGCGCAGCUUUUCCCCUUCUUCUGCAUUCCCUCAUCAUCUUCCAAAAUAGCUCACCCAUCUUCUUCUUCCUCACUUCUAACAGAGAGCAAAGACAACAAAUCCUUUCCUCUGAGAUUAGCUUCUAGCGGUAGUACCUCAGCCUCUUUCCCCUUCUGAUUUGAGAUGGCUUCUUUCUUUCAAUUGAAAAAAGACACACAUAGAUAGAGAGGAAGGUAGGACGAUACAGUGAGAGAGGGGAUCCGGGAAAAGAAAAACGAAAGGGGGAUGGGAUUAGCCCAAAAUUUCAGCCAUGGACCUCUCUUAGAACACCACGAACACCACCAUUUUCAGCUCUAAUACUCGAGCUCAAAUCAGCCCCAAACCCAUGUAAAAGCUCUGAAAACCCAACUGAAAUUCCUAUACCAAAAAGUCCCAAAAACAGCCAUCAACACUUCAAUUUCUCCUCCUAUAAAUCCCUCUUGUGCCUGAGCUUCCCUCGCUGACGAGCUCCAAGGCUGGAACAAACCGCUACUGUUUGUUUCUAUUUUUCUGGGUUUUAAAAUGCUACUAUGGUUGAAAAUUUGCUGUUGCUCCUUGUUCGGAUCUAUUGGUUUUCCGCUGUGCUAAGCUCAUUUCUCAUCUAGCCUUUAGUUGGAGUUUUGGAGGUGAUAUCUACACACGCAGGGAACAUCCUGUUCACAAAGUUUUCGGCAGUGGUAAACAUUUUAAAGAGCAAAAAUAUUAAGAGAUGGUCUGCUUUGUCAGAUGUUUGGAGGUUCUAGUUUAUCUGAGGUCGAUUUGGGUUUCGAGCUCUCCUGUGUCGAUUUGAGGUUCCGAUUCUUAAUUUUGAUGUUUCAAUCUCAAGAUUGUUGCCUUGUUCAGCCUGAUUGAUUUGCAAUAUUUAGUUUUGUUCAUCAAUAAAAGGCCUAUUUCUCAA